UACGAAGGGGGGCUAGCGUUGCUCGGAAUCACUGGGCGUAAAGGGUGCGUAGGCGGGUCUUUAAGUCAGGGGUGAAAUCCUGGGAGCUCAACUCCAGAACUGCCUUUGAUACUGAAGAUCUUGAGUUCGGGAGAGGUGAGUGGAACUGCGAGUGUAGAGGUGAAAUUCGUAGAUAUUCGCAAGAACACCAGUGGCGAAGGCGGCUCACUGGCCCGGUACUGACGCUGAGACGCGAAAGCGUGGGGAGCAAACAGG
rnacentral:rRNA from 1 species